UACGUAGGUGGCGAGCGUUAUCCGGAAUUAUUGGGCGUAAAGAGCGCGCAGGUGGUUGAUUAAGUCUGAUGUGAAAGCCCACGGCUUAACCGUGGAGGGUCAUUGGAAACUGGUCGACUUGAGUGCAGAAGAGGGAAGUGGAAUUCCAUGUGUAGCGGUGAAAUGCGUAGAGAUAUGGAAGAACACCAGUGGCGAAGGCGGCUUCCUGGUCUGUAACUGACACUGAGGCGCGAAAGCGUGGGGAGCAAACAGG
rnacentral:rRNA from 1 species